UGGGGAAUAUUGGACAAUGGGCGCAAGCCUGAUCCAGCCAUGCCGCGUGGGUGAAGAAGGCCUUCGGGUUGUAAAGCCCUUUUGUUGGGAAAGAAAAGCAGCCGGUUAAUACCCGGUUGUCAUGACGGUACCCAAAGAAUAAGCACCGGCUAACUUCGUGCCAGCAGCCGCGGUAAUACGAAGGGUGCAAGCGUUACUCGGAAUUACUGGGCGUAAAGCGUGCGUAGGUGGUUUGUUAAGUCAGAUGUGAAAGCCCUGGGCUCAACCUGGGAACUGCAUUUGAUACUGGCAGGCUAGAGUGCGGUAGAGGAUAGCGGAAUUCCUGGUGUAGCAGUGAAAUGCGUAGAGAUCAGGAGGAACACCCGUGGCGAAGGCGGCUAUCUGGGCCAGCACUGACACUGAGGCACGAAAGCGUGGGGAGCAAACAGG
rnacentral:rRNA from 1 species